UGGUGCAAAAGUAAUUGCGGUUUUUGCCAUUAAAGAUAUGGCAAAAACCGCAGUUACUUUUGCACCC
rnacentral:miRNA from 1 species